GUCCACGCCCUAAACGAUGUCAACUAGGUGUUGGGAAGGAGACUUCUUUAGUACCGCAGCUAACGCGAUAAGUUGACCGCCUGGGGAGGUACGGUCGCAAGAUUAAAACUCAAAGGAAUUGACGGGGACCCGCACAAGCGGUGGAUUAUGUGGAUUAAUUCGAUGCAACGCGAAAAACCUUACCUACCCUUGACAUGUCAGAGAGAUCGCAGAGAUGUGAUUGUGCCCGAAAGGGAAUCUGAACACAGGUGCUGCAUGGCUGUCGU
rnacentral:rRNA from 1 species